rnacentral:lncRNA from 1 species
GUGAAGUGUUUGAACUGAACUGAAAUGCUGCAGUGGUAGAGGUGUAGUGGGAAAUGUGGAGACAAAAUUUAGGGAUUUGGAUAGUGGGAGUGGUUGGACGAUUUUAGGAGAAAUUUGUGGGAUUUGGGGAUAAUGGGGCUGAAUUUAUUUUUAUUUUUGUUAUUUUUUUAUUUUCAAAUUCCUAAAGUUCCUCCAUCAUUCUACUGUUUCUUCUCACCCAGCUUUGCUAAACCUUUGCCAAAGUUUCUUUUUCUACUCCGUUCUUGUCGAUUUUGGCCAUUGGUAUACCUUUUCUCUUUUCGUUUGUCAGAGUUGCACUAAGAAUUUCUCCCUUUCUG